CUCGGCUCCAAUAUAAGGGUGUGGACUUGAAUGACCCUUCACAAUCUGUGCUUUUAUCCCUAAAGAAUAAGAAGGGGACCCAAUCUGCCAGCAACUCAGUAUUUAACUUCUCAAUACCCCAUAAAAGUGUUUUUACAAUUUGGCCCUAGGUCAGCAGCAUCAUCACCUGAGAACUUACUAGAAAUGCAAAUUCUCAGGCCCAACCCAGACCCUGCUGAAUCAGAAGACUGGGGGCGGGGCCCAGCAGCUUCUGCUGAAGGUUCUGGUGCAGCUCAAGGUUAAGAACCGCUGCUCUGAAUUGUUUUCUGCCCAACACUAAAGGGAGGGUUUAACACACACGCACACACGGAGGUAACCAACUUUUCUCUAUGGCCAGUAUCCCCCCCCCCCAACCCUUUUCCUGCUUUUCCAUCCCGGGAUGAUGAAUGGAGGUCAGGGCAGGGCGCUGUCCUCGCAGGACGCGGCAAACCCUCCCUCCCAAACCCACCCGGUGGGUCGGCGUAGGUGGCGUCGGGGCUUCCCCGAGACUGGUUUCCUCACCAUUUUCUUGACAACCGCUGCCCCACUUCGGGGAGGGGGACGUUUAAUAACGAAGUUUGCUUUUAAUGCUUUAGCCAAUAGUGUGCAGAAUAAAGAAGACUGUUGAGAGAGGGGUGUCAGGAAAAGUCUUGGGGAGAAAUGACUGGGAGAGAGAAGAGAAGGAUAGCGUUGAAGAGGUGAAGCUAGGGAGAAAAUAAGGGUUCAGGGGUGUGGGAGAGAGGCAGAGGGCAUUGCUCUUGGUAUGGGAAAGAGAAGCGGGGGGAAGAGCGCGGGACUAGAGCGCAACAGAAAGAAAAUGGGCGUUAGGAGAAAAACUGAGUUUGGGGGACUCGUUUUUUUUCCCCCCUCCAAGCUUGCUUUCCUUUCCAAGACUUUUUCUCUGCUCCAUUUUGCUCCUCCCCCUCCUCCCNAAGCUUCUUCCGUAUGGAGGGACCGGGCGCGCUGGGCGCGGCGUCCCCUGCCUUGUCCUCCUGCUGCCGCCGCCGCCGCGACCCCCGCUUCCUGCCGCAGAGACCCUGAGCCCCGGCCCGCCGGUGUCAGCCGCGGCGCGCGCGCACGCACACUCACGCUUACACACACACACGCGCACACACACACACUCACGCUCGCCUCAGCCGCACGCGCCCGCACGCGCCCUCCCUCCCCGGCCGGCAACUGCUCGGGCCGGGGCUCCUUUGUUGCUCCCGCGGCGACCGCUCUCCGGUUUUGGGAGUCCCUGGGUGUCACUGUGCGGGUUGUGUGUCGGUGCGGCGCGGUGCCGUGUGGCUCCCUCCGCGCUCACCGCGCCUGCCCCCGGGCCCCGCUUGCCCUUCCCAGGAGCCGCUGCACCAGAGGAGACUGGAGGCUGUCUAUUCCCAUGAAAUCUGAGGAUUGAGAUGUCAGACACUGUCCCUUUCAUCCUCUUUCAAGAGAUCUGAGAGGAGUAACAUUACAAGAGACAUUUCCUCAGGAGAAAUUGCCCAAGACACAGACAUUGGCUUUACUCCAGAGAGAUUGCUAGAGGCCAUGAUGGUUGGUUCCUUAACCGACCACAGCUAGGGGUGGGGGACAGAGGACCCUGCUUAGCUGUGGAUUGGUUGGCCAACUUGUGAUAAGAGUGUGUUUCUUUCCAUCCUCCAAAUGGAUUUUCCUUUCUUUGAAGUGCUCUUUCAAGUGUUUGGGCUCCCAGCUCUCUUCUGCAACUUAUCUGUGAUUUCCAUUCCCUAAGAAGGAGUGGGGAUUUUACUCCUUAAAUAUUUCAGUUGACUUCCCCAGGGACCCCCAGGUCUUAAGCAAGAAGAGCAAGAGGUGAGUCUGGUGGUCACAGUAUUCCACGAGACCCGAGGGGCCUGGGUUCAGGCUUCAACAAAGUCACUGAUGAAGUUAAUGAAUAAGGGGUUUUCUCUUUGUCUUUCGAACAAGUGGGAAGAAGCUGAAGAAGACCCAAAUGCACCAGUUAAUUGAUGUCCAGUACUUUCUGUCCUCUUGAGUAAGGAAGUAUUAACCUGGCACCAAAAGAUAUUAUACAUUUAGAGUCUGCUUUCUUGGGAAAUAAGAGAAAAGGGAAGGAAGUGGAAAUUGGUGAGGCAGAGGAAAUAAAGUGAUUUGUUACAUUAAAAAGAAUCUGUUUACUUUAUCAUUUAGAACUUCUUGUCAUCUCCAUACUUCAAUUCAGCAAACAUUUCUAGUACAUCAGACCUUGGACUGGGAGCUUUCUUGCCCCAGGAGAAUAAGCUUUCUUAGACAAAGGGUGGUUCUCCAACCAACCCCCCACCAUUUUUCUUUAUCAUACAAACAUCUACUAAUAAUUAAAAAAUGUCCUUUUAAAUGACCCGCAUUCCCAUAUUAUAACACAACGUGUUUUGUUCAUCCACACGCAUACAUACUUUUCACAUAGUUGUGAUAAAAGCAUAGACAUUUUUGUAGUCAACAGUGAAGCACCUAGAGAUUUUUGUCCAAAGACUCACAGAGAACAGAUGUGUCCAACCUACUUCACUAUUGUUGGGAACAACCUAAAUCCUAAGAGUGCUCCCACCUCGAGCCUUCACAUGUAAUAUUUUCAGCAUUUAUGAGGCCGAAUCAAAUAUUUGGGGUCGGGGGGGGAGUGGAAUGGAAGUGAGUGUUUUUAAUCUAGAAAUCCAUGUUUACAAAAAGCCUCCCUAAAUAGGGCUUUUGCCUCUUUUGAGCCCUCAGGGUUGGUAUGGGUAGAGAAGGGGAGGAGGAAGGCAGGAAGUAAGGUUUAGAGGCUCCAUCUCAAGUGGCACUGCGGUGGGGAUUAGGGCACUUGCGUUGAAGCCCUGGCUCUUCUGAGGGCUCCAUUCACACUGACUCAAAUCACCGAACUAACUCAUCAAUCCUUGUAUCUCCACUGCCAUUGUGUUAGCCUCCCUCUCCAAGCUUGCCUCAUCAUUCCUGCCCCUUCUUUUCUUCUUCUAUCUAUCUAUACCAUUUUUCCAUGCCUGCUACCACCAUGCUUCUUCAUGCCCUUGACAUUUGUUGCUGACACAUGGCUAGACUCCCCACUGGCUACCCAUCACCACACCACCCAUCUUCCAUCAAUCCCGUAAACAAGUCACCACCCAGCUUCAAAACAGUCUAAGUUUACAACCCAAAUUUCCUAGCCCUCUCACAUGUGGCCCUGUCCCACCUCAUGAUAAUAUUACUUUAGUAGGAGUCUUCUGCUCCAGCCCGAACCUAUCUAGUGCUGACCCUUGAUUUUUGCCGGGUUCAUUCCUUGCUUGCUGCCUUAACACCCCAAACCCCUUUCCUGUAAGCCCACCUUACUUUGCAUGAGACCCACUAAUGAUGAGUUCUUGAGAGAGAUUUGGUGAAUAUUGAUGAAAAUGGGCUGCUGGUUGCAAAGGUACUGGUUUUUUAAGAUUCAGUGUAAUCGUUGUCCUUAAUCCAUGGUUCAUUUCAUUUUUACAAUGGACCAGGUAACUGGAGAUUUAAGGAAGCCCAGGAUCUUGAAAAACUGCUUUUUCUGUUUUCUUAUUUAUAAAAUGUAUUAAUAAGGAAUUACUAUGGUUUAUAGCAAUGCACCUUAUAAAAAGCCAGUACUUUGGAACUGUUUAUUUUGUCGUUCAAAAGAUAAG
rnacentral:lncRNA from 1 species